rnacentral:lncRNA from 1 species
GGGGCCUAUAUAAAGAAAACUAUACUCAACUUUCAAUGGGCUUCUUCUGUUAUCUGUUGUCCCUCUGGCGUCUGAAAGGAAAACAAAGAGUAUGGAUUAGUAAAUUAGUUAAAAAGAGGAGAUAGGGGCCUAUAUAAAGAAAACUAUACUCAACUUUCAAUGGGCUUUUUCUGUUAUCUGCUGUCUUUCCCACAUCUGAAAGAAAAACAAAGUAUGGAUUAGUAAAUUAGUUAAAUAGAGGGGAUAGGGGCCUAUACAAAGAAAACUAUACUCAACUUUCAAUGGGCUUUUUCUGUUAUCUGCUGUCUUUCCCACAUCUGAAAGAAAAACAAAGUAUGGAUUAGUAAAUUAGCUAAAUAGAGGGGAUAG